AGAAACUGAAAGUUAAGACCAGUGCUCUAACCCCUGAGCCAUCUUCUGUGAAAACUGGCAAGUUGCUAGCUCGAUACACAACCCAGCAGGGACGGAAAGCGAGCAAGGAACCGGCCAGAUUCGAACCUGGGACCAUUCGCCUUGAAGUCCAGCGCUGACGCCACUACACCACCGGCCAGGUUAAGACAAGCUGGUGCCUGCAUACAAUACUCCCUCAGUUGACAUCUUUUGGAUAGACUACAAAACUGCUUACUUGACAUCUAUUACAUCUUUUUUUUUCAUCUUGAAUAUGUUUCUGGAACUGUUAGAGCCUGUGAUUUACAGUUUGGAGAUCGAUUGGGUGAUCCAGUACUUUGCUGCCUCCGAGGAGAUUCCGGGAAGCAGCAAGCGCGAGCCUCGAGGCGAAGAAUCUAUGAGAUGGAGCAUGAGCCAAUAUUCAACUCCAUUUUGCCGAUUAAUGCUUCCAUUAUCCCCCGGUUAAAACGAUGAGGAAGAUUGAAACAUCGAGGCAAAUGCGGAAGGCAAGCACUGACUACCUGUCUUCUAUUCGCUGAUGGGAUUGCCCGCCUACCAGAAAAGCAGUCUGUGUCACCUAUCGCUGUGCCCAGUGGGUAGGCGUCUGCGUUUGAGUGGUGUCUCUCUCAUUCGAUAAUGUUGGAAUUUGUUACCGAGGUUCUGCGUUUAUGGAUUUGAACUAUGGGCUAUGACUUUUUCAGACUUAUUUGGAUCUUAUAUUCUCUGUUUUCGCCUGUUCUUUCUCAUUUUUUGUGUGAGUGGAGGGGGA